CAGUCGCCACGGUAAUACGUAGGUGGCAAGCGUUGUCCGGAAUUAUUGGGCGUAAAGGGCUCGCAGGCGGUUUCUUAAGCCUGAUGUGAAAGCCCCCGGCUCAACCGGGGAGGGUCAUUGGAAACUGGGAAACUUGAGUGCAGAAGAGGAGAGUGGAAUUCCACGUGUAGCGGUGAAAUGCGUAGAGAUGUGGAGGAACACCAGUGGCGAAGGCGACUCUCUGGUCUGUAACUGACGCUGAGGAGCGAAAGCGUGGGGAGCGAACAGGAUUAGAUACCCGAGUAGUCCCUGUCUCUUAUAC
rnacentral:rRNA from 1 species